GAGGACAAAUAAGAGAACUGCAGCUCAGGUUGGCCAGGACAUAAAAUCAGACAGUACUUCUAAAAUAACCUACAGAGACUGGAGGGUCCUUUGAAGUCUGGUCCUGUCUCCCACUGCCCUGAAUGAACAUUCUAACCUAGUUAUCCAGAGUACACUUACCAAGAAAGAAAGGAUAAGUUCCUGUCCUAUCUUGGGACAUGUGCUUCCUCAUAUACAG